rnacentral:rRNA from 1 species
GAGCGGCAAAAGCUCAAAUUUGAAAUCUGGCUCUUUCAGAGUCCGAGUUGUAAUUUGAAGAAGGUAUCUUUGGGUCUGGCUCUUGUCUAUGUUUCUUGGAACAGAACGUCACAGAGGGUGAGAAUCCCGUGCGAUGAGAUGAUCCAGGCCUAUGUAAAGUUCCUUCGAAGAGUCGAGUUGUUUGGGAAUGCAGCUCUAAGUGGGUGGUAAAUUCCAUCUAAAGCUAAAUAUUGGCGAGAGACCGAUAGCGAACAAGUACAGUGAUGGAAAGAUGAAAAGAACUUUGAAAAGAGAGUGAAAAAGUACGUGAAAUUGUUGAAAGGGAAGGGCUUGAGAUCAGACUUGGUAUUUUGUAUGUUACUUCUUCGGGGGUGGCCUCUACAGUUUAUCGGGCCAGCAUCAGUUUGGGCGGUAGGAGAAUUGCGUUGGAAUGUGGCACGGCUUCGGUUGUGUGUUAUAGCCUUCGUCGAUACUGCCAGCCUAGACUGAGGACUGCGGUUUAUACCUAGGAUGUUGGCAUAAUGAUCUUAAGUCGCCCGUCUUGACCCA